rnacentral:rRNA from 1 species
AGGACGAACGCUGGCGGCGUGCUUAACACAUGCAAGUCGAGCGGAAAGGCCCUUCGGGGUACUCGAGCGGCGAACGGGUGAGUAACACGUGAGCAACCUGCCCCUGGCUCUGGGAUAGCCUCCGGAAACGGGGAUUAAUACCGGAUAUUCACUGUCUCCUGCAUGGGGGGUGGUGGAAAGUUUUUCGGCUAGGGUGGGCUCGCGGCCUAUCAGCUUGUUGGGGGGUGACGGCCCACCAAGGCGACGACGGGUAG